CAUGAGUAGUUGAAAUGGCGUAAGAAGUCAUUUUGUACGGACUAUACCAAAAUACAAGUUUCAAUGUGUUCAAAAAUUUGCUAAGCUAUGCGGACUUUUUUAGUAAGGACACCUUUUGGCAAAUUAUGAGGGUGAUUAAUGUCAAUUCUAAUAGAAAAAAAAUUGUUCAUGAAUCAUGGGAAUCAUGUUGCUGUAUUUUCAUCAAAGUUUAAGAAUUUGAAGAGUUGGUAAUUUUGGCUAUUAAAUCCACGAUUGAUUUUGUUCAUAAACGAUGGCAGGCGGAGUAGAAGAUAACCCGAAUUUAAAAGGCUUAAGCCGGUAUUUCAACAGCGAAACAAAUAGGGGACGAGCUAACGUUUCAAAAGUAACUCUAGGAAGUUUAGCUUUGUAUUACAUUUACCACAAACUUUUCAAGAGCGGAAAGAAGAAGCCGUCCACCGCUAACUGACAAAUUUUUAAUUCAUUUACAUCUAGUUACAUUUCAAUAAGUAACAUUUUUAAAUUUUAAA